rnacentral:rRNA from 1 species
UACGUAGGGUGCGAGCGUUGUCCGGAUUUAUUGGGCGUAAAGAGCUCGUAGGCGGUUUGUCGCGUCGGCCGUGAAAUCUCCGCGCUUAACGUGGAGCGUGCGGUCGAUACGGGCAGACUUGAGUUCGGUAGGGGAGACUGGAAUUCCUGGUGUAGCGGUGAAAUGCGCAGAUAUCAGGAGGAACACCGGUGGCGAAGGCGGGUCUCUGGGCCGAUACUGACGCUGAGGAGCGAAAGCGUGGGGAGCGAACAGG